ACUCAAAUGAAUUGACGGGGACUUGCACAAGCAGUGGAUUAUGUGGUUUAAUUCGAUGGUAAACGAAGAACCUUACCAGGGUUAGAAAUCCUAGUGAAAGCCCGAGGAAACUCGGGGCCUCGCAAGACUCUAGGACAGGUGAUGCAUGGCCGUCGUCAGUUCGUGGUUUGAAUUGUACCCUUAAGUGGGCUAACGAACGCAACCCUCGUUGUGUGUUACAAGUGUCACACGAGACUGCCCCCGCAAAAGCGCAUGAGUAGUGAGCGAAAGCAAAACUAUUCGUGAAUUUUUGUGGGGGAGGAAGGAGAGGAUGACGCCAGGUCAGCAUGUCCCUUUGAUACCCUGGGCUACACACAUAAUACAAUGGCUAUUACAACGCGAUGCGACGAGGCGACUCUGAGCAAAUCGUCCAAAAAUAGCCCCAGUUCGGAUUGGAGGCUGCAACUCGCCUCCAUGAAGCCGGAAUUGCUAGUAAUCACAGGUCAGCUAAACUGUGGUGAAUACGUUCUCAAGUCUUGCACACACCGCCCGU
rnacentral:rRNA from 1 species